rnacentral:rRNA from 1 species
AAUGAACGCUGGCGGCAGGCUUAACACAUGCAAGUCGAACGAGUGGCGGACGGGUGAGUAAUGCUCGGGAAUCUGGCUUAUGGAGGGGGAUAACGACGGGAAACUGUCGCUAAUACCGCGUACCAUAGGAUGAGCCCAAUGGGGCUUAGGUAGUUGGUGGGGUAAAGGCCUACCAAGCUGACUAUCUCUAGCUGGUCUGAGAGGAUGACCAGCCACACGGGGACUGGGACACGGCCCGGACUCCUACGGGAGGCAGCAGUGGGGAAUAUUGCGAAAUGGGGGCAAACCUGACGCAGACAUGCCGCGUGAAUGAAGAAGGCCUUCGGGUUGUAAAGUUCUUUCGGUAUUGAGGCGUUAACUACAGAAGAAGCACCGGCUAACUCCGUGCCAGCAGCCGCGGUAAUUC